GGUGAGAUGGCCGAGCGGUCUAAGGCGCUAGCUUAAGGUGUUCCUGAGCUCCAGGAUAUCACAUUCGCUAGUCUGAAAAGGCGUGGGUUCGAAUCCCACUCUCAUCA
rfam:Hortaea werneckii EXF-2000 unitig_255, whole genome shotgun sequence.